CGGUGCUGAAGCAACAAAUGCCCUGCUUCCAGGAAAAGCCUCUAAGCAUCAGGUAACACGAAAUCGUACCCCAAACCGACACAGGUGGUCAGGUAGAGAAUACCAAGGCGCUUGAGAGAACUCGGGUGAAGGAACUAGGCAAAAUGGUGCCGUAACUUCGGGAGAAGGCACGCUGACACGUAGGUGAAGUGAUUUACUCAUGGAGCUGAAGUCAGUCGAAGAUACCAGCUGGCUGCAACUGUUUAUUAAAAACACAGCACUGUGCAAACACGAAAGUGGACGUAUACGGUGUGACGCCUGCCCGGUGCCGGAAGGUUAAUUGAUGGGGUCAGCGUAAGCGAAGCUCCUGAUCGAAGCCCCGGUAAACGGCGGCCGUAACUAUAACGGUCCUAAGGUAGCGAAAUUCCUUGUCGGGUAAGUUCCGACCUGCACGAAUGGCGUAAUGAUGGCCAGGCUGUCUCCACCCGAGACUCAGUGAAAUUGAACUCGCUGUGAAGAUGCAGUGUACCCGCGGCAAGACGGAAAGACCCCGUGAACCUUUACUAUAGCUUGACACUGAACAUUGAGCCUUGAUGUGUAGGAUAGGUGGGAGGCUUUGAAGUGUGGACGCCAGUCUGCAUGGAGCCGACCUUGAAAUACCACCCUUUAAUGUUUGAUGUUCUAACGUGGACCCGUAAUCCGGGUUGCGGACAGUGUCUGGUGGGUAGUUUGACUGGGGCGGUCUCCUCCUAAAGAGUAACGGAGGAGCACGAAGGUUGGCUAAUCCUGGUCGGACAUCAGGAGGUUAGUGCAAUGGCAUAAGCCAGCUUGACUGCGAGCGUGACGGCGCGAGCAGGUGCGAAAGCAGGUCAUAGUGAUCCGGUGGUUCUGAAUGGAAGGGCCAUCGCUCAACGGAUAAAAGGUACUCCGGGGAUAACAGGCUGAUACCGCCCAAGAGUUCAUAUCGACGGCGGUGUUUGGCACCUCGAUGUCGGCUCAUCACAUCCUGGGGCUGAAGUAGGUCCCAAGGGUAUGGCUGUUCGCCAUUUAAAGUGGUACGCGAGCUGGGUUUAGAACGUCGUGAGACAGUUCGGUCCCUAUCUGCCGUGGGCGCUGGAGAACUGAGGGGGGCUGCUCCUAGUACGAGAGGACCGGAGUGGACGCAUCACUGGUGUUCGGGUUGUCAUGCCAAUGGCACUGCCCGGUAGCUAAAUGCGGAAGAGAUAAGUGCUGAAAGCAUCUAAGCACGAAACUUGCCCCGA
rnacentral:rRNA from 2 species